AUUGAACGCUGGCGGCAUGCCUAACACAUGCAAGUCGAACGGCAGCACAGGUAGCAAUACCGGGUGGCGAGUGGUGGACGGGUGAGUAAUGCAUCGGGAUCUACCCAAACGCGGGGGAUAACGUAGGGAAACUUACGCUAAUACCGCAUACGUCCCAUGGGAGAAAGCGGGGGCUCGCAAGACCUCGCGCGGUUGGACGAACCGAUGUGCGAUUAGCUAGUUGGCGGGGUAAUGGCCCACCAAGGCGACGAUCGCUAGCUGGUCUGAGAGGAUGAUCAGCCACACUGGAACUGAGACACGGCCCAG
rnacentral:rRNA from 1 species